rnacentral:misc_RNA from 1 species
CCGAGUUUUACAACUCCCAAACCCAAUGUGAACGUUACCAACUGUUGCCUCGGCGGGAUCUCUGCCCCGGGUGCGUCGCAGCCCCGGACCAAGGCGCCCGCCGGAGACCAACCAAAACUCUUAUUGUAUACCCCCUCGCGGGUUUUUUUAUAAUCUGAGCCUUCUCGGCGCCUCUCGUAGGCGUUUCGAAAAUGAAU